UACAGAGGGGGCAAGCGUUGUUCGGAAUUACUGGGCGUAAAGGGCGCGUAGGCGGCCUGCUAAGUCGAUCGUAAAAUCCCCGGGCUCAACCCGGGAACUGCGACCGAUACUGGUUGGCUUGAAUCCGGGAGAGGGAUGCGGAAUUCCAGGUGUAGCGGUGAAAUGCGUAGAUAUCUGGAGGAACACCGGUGGCGAAGGCGGCAUCCUGGACCGGCAUUGACGCUGAGGCGCGAAAGCCAGGGGAGCAAACGGG
rnacentral:rRNA from 1 species